UUGGAGGGCAAGUCUGGUGCCAGCAGCCGCGGUAAUUCCAGCUCCAAUAGCGUAUAUUAAAGUUGUUGCAGUUAAAAAGCUCGUAGUUGAAUUUCGGGAUCAAUCUGUUGGUCGUGCCUUUGGUACGUACUAGCUUAUUGAUUUCUCCCUUCUGACGAACCAUGAUGUCAUUAAUUUGGUGUCAUGGGGAAUCAGGACUGUUACUUUGAAAAAAUUAGAGUGUUUAAAGCAGGCUCACGCUUGAAUACAUUAGCAUGGAAUAAUGAAAUAGGACGUUUUGAUUCUAUUUUGUAGGUUUCUAGGAUCGACGUAAUGAUUAAUAGGGAUAGUUGGGGGCAUUAGUAUUCAAUUGUCAGGGGUGAAAUUCUUGGAUUUAUUGAAGACUAACUACUGCGAAGGCAUUUGCCAAGGAUGUUUUCAUUAAUCAAGAACGAAAGUUAGGGGAUCGAAGACGAUCAGAUACCGUCGUAGUCUUAACCAUAAACUAUGCCGACUAGGGAUCGGAUGAUGUUAAUUUUUAAUGACUCAUUCGGCGCCUUACGGGAAACCAAAGUGUUUGGGUUC
rnacentral:rRNA from 1 species